UACGUAGGGGGCAAGCGUUGUCCGGAUUUAUUGGGCGUAAAGAGCGUGUAGGCGGCCAGGUAGGUCCGCUGUGAAAACUCGAGGCUCAACCUCGAGAUGUCGGCGGAAACCAUCUGGCUAGAGUCCGGAAGAGGAGAGUGGAAUUCCUGGUGUAGCGGUGAAAUGCGCAGAUAUCAGGAAGAACACCCGUGGCGAAGGCGGUUCUCUGGGACGGUACUGACGCUGAGACGCGAAAAGCGUGGGGGAGCGAACAGG
rnacentral:rRNA from 1 species